ensembl:lncRNA novel transcript
GGAUAUGGGAAAUGGUGUCACAGAGACAAUCUUGCUCUAUUCCUUAUUUAUGUAUACCCCUACCUCCUGGAAAGGAAUCAGGACAGCUCACACUGGGAAAGAUUCAGAGCAUACAUACAAAAGCCUUGAGACUGGAAAGAUUAUUUGGAAGUUGGGCAGAAGAGCAGGUCACAAAUAGA